GUCUAAGUACAUACCUUAAAACGGUGAAACCGCGAAUGGCUCAUUAAAUCAGCUAUGGUUCCUUAGAUCGUAAAUGCUACAUGGAUAACUGUAGUAAUUCUAGAGCUAAUACAUGCUAACUUCCAUUCACCAAUAAGGUGGACCUGGAAACUUGAGAGAAACUCUAUUCUCGAUGGGAUUCAAAUCUGCAUCACCUGGCUUUGCAGGCUUAGACGGUACUACUUAACUGUUCGGAUCACGAAAGACUUCUUGUAAGACUGUUAUAUUUACAUUAACUGAUCACCGCAUUGCAUCUCGAU
rnacentral:ncRNA from 1 species